CAAAUUCAUUGCAAGUAUCAUUUCUGUAACGGCCUUUAGUUAUUCAGUUGAAGACAAACACUGUGUGACAAAAUGAACAAGUUGAUGUUGGCUUUACUUCUGGUGGGUUGCAUCACCAUAGUUAUUCUUCCAGAUUCUGCUUCAGCCCAACCAGGCGGACUCGGAAGACGUUGUUUCUGCCGAUUUCGCUGUAGGUAUGGAGAACAGUAUAGUGGUUCAUGUGGAUAUAACCGAAGUCGUUGCUGCACAAGACAUUAUGGAUAGACUGAAGAAAGAAUAGCUGAUGUAUGUUAAAAUGUAUAGGGUCUAAGGAUGCAGUGUAUUUCUUUGAUAACCAUUGACAUGUUUUGGCUUUGAAAUGAUCAAAAUAAAAUACGCUACUCUUCA